CCCAUCACACGGUAGUAGAUAUCGUAUUAGACUAUUAGCAUACUUUCAACUAAUUCAUGAGUUAAAUUUAUGUUGUCGUCAAAGUACAAGAAUGAAUAGAAGAUGUUUUGUCAUUCUACGUUAUUUAUUUAAGACAAUUGGCAGAUUAGUUGGAACUAAAGUUGUAGAUGUAGAGGAGAAGUGCCUGAACCUUGCUCGUUUACAUCUGGAUAAGAAAAUAGGGACACACUUGAAUGACAUGAUGUUAAGAAUCGAUUGUUGGAAGAAAAUUUGACGAUAUGAUGAGACAGUUUCUAGGUAUUUCAACUCCGUUUUAUUAGCAGUGUUAUGAUUACACGAAAUGUUGUUAAAAAAAACCUGUGUCAAUCACAAACUAAUGUACAGAUCAGAGAUGGCAAUGGUUUGAGGUACAGUUAAAAAAAACCAAUAUUAAUUCGGUGUGACUUUUUUGUUAGGUAUACGUAUGUACAUGAAUAUUUCAUACUUUAUUUUAUCACAUAAUUGUCUGGGUGCGUUAGAUGGUACGUACAUCAAGGUAAAUGUCAAUGCCACUAAUUGCCCAAGGUAUAGGACUAGGAAGGGUGAAAUUGUAACAAAUGUACUCAGUGUUUGUGAUACAAAUGGCGACUUCGUAUUUGCCUUAUCGGGGCAGAAAGGAUCCACAACUGAUUCUCGAGUUCUUAGAGAUGCAAUAUCACGACCUAACGGACUGAAGGUUCCGAACGAUAACUAGCUACAUAUACUAUCUCUUCUUACUCAUCAUUGUAUUAGUAGGAUAAGGUUUGAAAUGGUUAGACGUUAACUAGGGUAUUAUUAUCUAUGUGAUGUUGAGUACUCAAAUGUAGAGGGUUCCUUGGCACUAUAUAAAGGUGAAAUAUAUCAUCUUUCAGAGUGACAUGGAGGAGGUAAUGCAUCAACAACUCCACGUGAAUUCUUUAACAUGAAGUAUUCUUCUACACUGAAUGUCAUUGAGAGAGUGUUCGAGUUUCUGAAGGGUAGAUGGGCAAUCUUACAAGGAAAAUCAUACUACCCAGUGCAAAUCCAAUGUCGAACCAUCAAGGUGUGUUGCCUUUUACACAAUCUUAUCAAUAGGAAGAUGAAUAAUAGUGAACUGACCAAGGAUUUGGAUGAGAUUAACUCCAACUUUGCUACAACUGGGGGGAUGAGAUCAAUUACAUUGAGAGUUUAAAUGAAUUGACCCAAUGGAGGGAUGAAUUGGCAGAACAAAUGUUUUCUAAAUGGGAGAAUGUCAAGUUCCUCUAGAACCCCGAAUCACACUUGGACUAAAAAGGAAAAAGAGAAGUUUGUCGAGUGCUCAGUAGGUUUAGUCGCAUCUGGUGGAUGGAGAUCGGACAAUGGGACAUUUCAACCUAGGUACUUGGCACAACUGCAACGUAUGAUGGCACAGAAGUUGACCGGUUGUAAGAUUCAAGGAUCGCCUACUAUAGAUUGUCGAAUCAAAUUCCUAAAACAAUGAGAGGACCAACUUGUAGUAGAUUCAGUUGGGAUGAAGAAUUCCAAUGCAUCACAACAGAGCAGAAGACAUUCGAUGUCAUCCUGCAGCAAAGGGACUUCUACACAAGUCGUUCUCAUAUUAUGAUGAUCUGACGUACGUCUUCGACACGACAAGGAUAAGGCUACGGGAGCAUGGUCAGAGACCUAUUUAGACGUCGAGACUAAUGUGCCAAACCAUAUGAAUGAUGAUGUCCCCACUGGUGAAUCACAAGAUUUAAACAUCCCCACGAUGUCUAGUCAGGGAAUGGACAUGCCACAGAAUGAGAUGCAUGGAACAAGUAUUGGUUAGAGCAUUGAAUGAGGAAAUGCUUCAAGAGGAAGUCAAAGGAACCAAAGUGGAUAUCAAUCUGAAACGAUAGAGAUUGUUAAGAAUGUGAGGACUUUACAAAUGAUCCAUUGAAGGUGAUUGAUUGGAGAAUGGGCAAAAGAGAAGCAUGCAAUAGAGAUCAAACCGGGUGCUGAAGUCGUGAACCAAUUCCAAGAUAUACAAAAAUUGCAUAACGAACUUAUGUAAAUCAUAUUCUAUAAUGUGCAAGAUACAGAAAGCUUAUUAUCCGCUCAACUAUGAAGUUGGACUAUUGCAACCUUCUCCUUCAAAAGAAUGUUUGAUCAACCCAUAUUUUGGAUUGUUUUAAUGAACAAUAAUUACUUUGUUUGAAUUAUGCAUUUAAGCUUGUAGUAGAUUUGAUAUAUAAUCAUGCAAUUAUGAGUUAGCUAUUUUGUUUUAGAUUUUUUUACCUAAA